GUCUAUAGUAUAUAUGUAUGGGCAGGUCUAUAGUAUAUAUAGUAUGGGCAGGUCUAUAGUAUAUAUGUAUGGGCAGGUCUAUAGUAUAUAUGGUAUGGGCAGGUCUAUAGUAUAUAUGGUAUGGGCAGGUCUAUAGUAUAUAUGUAUGGGCAGGUCUAUAGUAUAUAUGUAUGGGCAGGUCUAUAGUAUAUAUGUAUGGGCAGGUCUAUAGUAUAUAUGUAUGGACAGGUCUGUGGUAUGGGCAGGUCUACAGUAUAUAUGGUAUGGACAGGUCUGUAGUAUAUAUGGUAUGGACAGGUCUGUAGUAUAUAUGGUAUGGGCAGGUCUAUAGUAUAUAUGGUACGGGCAGGUCUAUAGUAUAUAUAGUAUGGGCAGAUUCAGUAAUAUAUACCUAUGCAUACACUACUUGGUUUCUUUCUGACAGAAAUGUUUGGUCAGUAAUAUAUACCUGUAUAUUCACUACUGGAACUCUCACUGACAGGAGAGUUGAGGACAGUAAUAUAUAUCUGUAUAUACACCCUAGGGUCUCUCACUGACAGGAGAGUUGGGGCAGUAAUAUAUAUCUGUAUAUAUACACUUAGGGUCUGUCACUGACGGGAGAGUUGGGGCAGUAAUAUAUAUCUGUAUAUAUACACUUAG